GCGAACGGGAUUAGAUACCCUGGUAGUCCACGCUGUAAACGAUGUCGAUUUGGAGGUUGUGCCCUUGAGGCGUGGCUUCCGGAGCUAACGCGUUAAAUCGACCGCCUGGGGAGUACGGCCGCAAGGUUAAAACUCAAAUGAAUUGACGGGGGCCCGCACAAGCGGUGGAGCAUGUGGUUUAAUUCGAUGCAACGCGAAGAACCUUACCUACUCUUGACAUCCAGAGAACUUUCCAGAGAUGGAUUGGUGCCUUCGGGAACUCUGAGACAGGUGCUGCAUGGCUGUCGUCAGCUCGUGUUGUGAAAUGUUGGGUUAAGUCCCGCAACGAGCGCAACCCUUAUCCUUUGUUGCCAGCGGUUCGGCCGGGAACUCAAAGGAGACUGCCAGUGAUAAACUGGAGGAAGGUGGGGAUGACGUCAAGUCAUCACGGCCCUUACGAGUAGGGCUACACACGUGCUACAAUGGCAUAUACAAAGAGAAGCGACCUCGCGAGAGCAAGCGGACCUCAUAAAGUAUGUCGUAGUCCGGAUUGGAGUCUGCAACUCGACUCCAUGAAGUCGGAAUCGCUAGUAAUCGUAGAUCAGAAUGCUACGGUGAAUACGUUCCCGGGCCUUGUACACACCGCCCGUCACACCAUGGGAGUGGGUUGCAAAAGAAGUAGGUAGCUUAACCUUCGGGAGGGCGCUUACCACUUUGUGAUUCAUGACUGGG
rnacentral:rRNA from 1 species